rnacentral:rRNA from 1 species
UACGGAGGGGGCCAGCGUUGUUCGGAAUUAUUGGGCGUAAAGGGCGCGUAGGCGGCCGGAUAAGUCUGAUGUGAAAUCCCACGGCUCAACCGUAGAACUGCAUUUGAAACUGUUCGGCUCGAGUCCGGGAGAGGGUAGUGGAAUUCCCAGUGUAGCGGUGAAAUGCUUAGAUAUGACACAGAACACCGAUUGCGAAGGCAGCUCACUAAACUGUAACUGACGCUGAGGCACGAAAGCGUGGGGAGCAAACAGG